rnacentral:rRNA from 1 species
UACGUAGGGUGCGAGCGUUGUCCGGAAUUAUUGGGCGUAAAGGGCUCGUAGGCGGUUUGUCACGUCGGGAGUGAAAACUCAGGGCUUAACCCUGAGCUUGCUUCCGAUACGGGCAGACUAGAGGUAUGCAGGGGAGAACGGAAUUCCUGGUGUAGCGGUGAAAUGCGCAGAUAUCAGGAGGAACACCGGUGGCGAAGGCGGUUCUCUGGGCAUUACCUGACGCUGAGGAGCGAAAGUGUGGGGAGCGAACAGG